AACUUUUGACAACGGAUCACUUGGCUCUCGCAUCGAUGAAGAACGCAGCGAAAUGCGAUAAGUAAUGUGAAUUGCAGAUUUCCAGUGAAUCAUCGAAUCUUUGAACGCACCUUGCGCCCCUUGGUAUUCCGAGGGGCAUGCCUGUUUGAGUGUCAUUAAACCAUCAACCUCGGGGUUUUUUGACCCCUGGGGAUUGGAGUUGGAGUGUGCUGGUGGAAACACCCAUCGGCUCCUCUCAAAUGCAUAAGCGGGGAAACCCUUUACUUCCGAAAGUCGGUGCGAUAAGGAUUUGUUACGCCGUCGCAUAGGAACUUUGAAGGCCGCUCACAAUGGUCUUCGGACACGUCUAUCAAACUUGACCUCAAAUCAGGUAGGACUACCCGCUGAACUUAAGCAUAUCAAUAAGCGGAGGCU
rnacentral:misc_RNA from 1 species